rnacentral:snRNA from 1 species
GUGCUUGCUUCAGCAGCAUAUAUACUAAAAUUGGAAUGAUACAGAGAAGGUUAUUAGCAUGGCCCCUGAGCAUGGAUGAUACACAAAUUUGUGAAGCAUUCCAUAUUUAA